AUUGCGUAACGAAUGUUCUGAUUUACAUCUACUAUCUUUGCUGGAGAAACUUGUAUUUCUUCUAAUGCACAUUGCUGGAUGAUGACAGAUAGCUUUGGGAGCAAUAGCAAGGAGGAGAAAAUUACUGAGUGAUGACGUCAUCAUUUCAUUGGCCGAUAGUUCUUGGGAAUUCUUGACCUUUCGUGUUCAGAUGUUACUGAUUUUGGCAAAAGCGGAUGAAAUGUGCCAUUCUCUUCGGGCUGUGGAUAUAAGCCAAUGCAAAAAUGCAAAAAAUUACUGCCAAUGGUGUUUCUGAAUUUGUGCAGCACUGCCAUUCAUUGGAGACAUUGAGAUGCGGAGGGUGCUCAUCAGUGAGUCUACAGCUCGAAGAUGCCUAGGCAUAUUGAAGCCAAAGCUGAAUUAUGUGGAGGGAGAUUCUUGGGAGGAGCUCGAUACCAUGGAGAUUGGUCAUGGUGCACAGUCUGUACGUUGGCAUGUGUGGCCGAACUUGAUGAAGACUCAAUUGAUAUGUUGUCUGCCGAUUGCCCACGACUAAUCAUAAAUCCAAAGUUCUCACUCUUCGGGUUUAAAGGAACUGAAGUUCCUAGGGAUGCAUUUCCAGAUGUUGCUUUGGGUGAUCUUUUUGUCAAGGACAUUGAUCCCAAAACAUGGUCUAUUGCUCGAUCUACACCUAAAGCAAUAUCAGUCACUUCCAAAUGCCAAUGAGCUAUCCAUCGCUGAAAAAUUUAGACUCGCCUCUGUGGAAGGGACACACGGUUAGCUCCGAAACGUGCCAAAAAUGCUAGACAGC